UAAAUGAUAAAUUAAAAAUGAAGUGUAAGUCCAAAUUGUUGAAAAAAAAAAGAAAAAAGAGGUUUUUUGAUACUUGAAAAACGAUAUUUACUGAUAAAUAACAAUAUUUACAGCAUCUAUUUAAAAAAUAUAAUAAAAGGGUAUAGUGUACCUGUCCCUCCACAUUCCUUGUCCUUUUGUGACGAAACCGAGGGCAGCCAGCGAUGUAUUUAAGGACACUAGUGACGCGCUAAUCUCAGAACAAAACUGCGUUCAUUGCAACUUUAUUUUCGGCCAUCUUGGCAGAUUCUGACGGUUCUUCAUCUAAAGAGGAUGAUUCCGUCGACUGUAACGAAAAAUGUAAAAGGAUUGCUAACGUUUGCGUAAGAACUAAUACUCUCCCGUGCUCCUAUGCAUGCAAUAAAGGUAUGGAUUUAUCACAAAAGGGGAACUGUCAUAAUUAAAAAUUUGGGGCAGUCCACGACUCGUCCGCACACUUCAGGACGAAAUCGUACGCACGUUUUGACACUUGCGGACUACCCGUGGUGACGAUUCCAUCCCCCCACCACACGCGCACAAAGCCAAGAGGGGUAACUGCACUGGUGGCGGCGGACUGACUGUCAGCCGCCACCACGGUUAGUCCACAAGAGCCAAACAAUGAGUGCGAUCUUGGCCUGACUCAGCUGUGAGGACGAAUCGUGCAUCUCUCAAAACUUCUGAAAGCCGGGUAAUAACGCAUACGCAUAACAAGAAAACAUAUUUUAAUCAACUAAAUUAAUAAAUAUUACCCAACUUCCUCUGAUUUUAAGUUAAGUUACUAGAUACAAAUUUUAUAAA